UGGGACGGGCGUGCCUAAUACAUGCAAGUCGAGCGGACAGAUGGGAGCUUGCUCCCUGAUGUUAGCGGCGGACGGGUGAGUAACACGUGGGUAACCUGCCUGUAAGACUGGGAUAACUCCGGGAAACCGGGGCUAAUACCGGAUGCUUGUUUGAACCGCAUGGUUCAAACAUAAAAGGUGGCUUCGGCUACCACUUACAGAUGGACCCGCGGCGCAUUAGCUAGUUGGUGAGGUAAUGGCUCACCAAGGCAACGAUGCGUAGCCGACCUGAGAGGGUGAUCGGCCACACUGGGACUGAGACACGGCCCAGACUCCUACGGGAGGCAGCAGUAGGGAAUCUUCCGCAAUGGACGAAAGUCUGACGGAGCAACGCCGCGUGAGUGAUGAAGGUUUUCGGAUCGUAAAGCUCUGUUGUUAGGGAAGAACAAGUGCCGUUCAAAUAGGGCGGCACCUUGACGGUACCUAACCAGAAAGCCACGGCUAACUACGUGCCAGCAGCCGCGGUAAUACGUAGGUGGCAAGCGUUGUCCGGAAUUAUUGGGCGUAAAGGGCUCGCAGGCGGUUUCUUAAGUCUGAUGUGAAAGCCCCCGGCUCAACCGGGGAGGGUCAUUGGAAACUGGGGAACUUGAGUGCAGAAGAGGAGAGUGGAAUUCCACGUGUAGCGGUGAAAUGCGUAGAGAUGUGGAGGAACACCAGUGGCGAAGGCGACUCUCUGGUCUGUAACUGACGCUGAGGAGCGAAAGCGUGGGGAGCGAACAGGAUUAGAUACCCUGGUAGUCCACGCCGUAAACGAUGAGUGCUAAGUGUUAGGGGGUUUCCGCCCCUUAGUGCUGCAGCUAACGCAUUAAGCACUCCGCCUGGGGAGUACGGUCGCAAGACUGAAACUCAAAGGAAUUGACGGGGGCCCGCACAAGCGGUGGAGCAUGUGGUUUAWUUCGAWGCAACGCGAAGAACCUUACCAGGUCUUGACAUCCUCUGACACCCCUAGAGAUAGGGCUUCCCCUUCGGGGGCAGAGUGACAGGUGGUGCAUGGUUGUCGUCAGCUCGUGUCGUGAGAUGUUGGGUUAAGUCCCGCAACGAGCGCAACCCUUGAUCUUAGUUGCCAGCAUUCAGUUGGGCACUCUAAGGUGACUGCCGGUGACAAACCGGAGGAAGGUGGGGAUGACGUCAAAUCAUCAUGCCCCUUAUGACCUGGGCUACACACGUGCUACAAUGGACAGAACAAAGGGCAGCGAGACCGCGAGGUUAAGCCAAUCCCACAAAUCUGUUCUCAGUUCGGAUCGCAGUCUGCAACUCGACUGCGUGAAGCUGGAAUCGCUAGUAAUCGCGGAUCAGCAUGCCGCGGUGAAUACGUUCCCGGGCCUUGUACACACCGCCCGUCACACCACGAGAGUUUGUAACACCCGAAGUCGGUGAGGUAACCUUUAUGGAGCCAGCCGCCGAAGGUGGACAAGAUGACCGCU
rnacentral:rRNA from 1 species